CUCCACCGGCCGCCGUCAUUUCUUUUGCCAUCUCGGAGACACGCACCCAAGUUCCAUGGCAGCUCGCCGUCGCCCACUUCUCCAGGAAGGAGGGGAUGGUCUACUCAACUCCAGACGGGCAGCCGCUCGUCGGUGUCGAUCCGACAAUCAGGUGGUUGGUCCAGUUUUCUGUGGACGAGUCAGUGGCUUGGCGGAUGUUUGACUGACGAGAUGCAGUUCUUUGACCCAAAGAUUUCGCGAAAGGGAUUGUGUACAGGGGAUGCUUCAUUUUUCUUGAAGUAGGGUAUUCCGGCAAGUGUUCAGAUCUUUACUAUGACAAGGAUGCACAAAACCAAGUUAUUGCGCGCAGGAGCUUUUUUCGCUGUUCCACUGUUCAAUUCCACUGGAACAAAGGGUCUACUGGGCUUCUAAAACCAACCAGAGUUACUAUGGUGAAACCAAGUUGCACUACUUGACAACUGAUAGGUCUUUUUGGAGGAAUCGUUCCUCUCAAAAAGGAAGGGCCGGUGCCUGAUGUGCAGUGGUCUUCAUCAGGUUCAGAAUUUGCUGUGGUAUAUGGGUGUUUACGCGGCCUAGAGCAACAAUAUCCAACAAAACAUGCAACCCUCCUUUUGAGCUUGGUGGUGGUCCUUACAAUACAAUAAGAUGGAACCCAAAAGGGCGAUGUAUCCUUGCUACUGUAUGAUUUGAUAAGCUAGUCUUGCUGCGUUAUCUGGUCUAUGAGUAUAGACACAUUCUCUUA